UGGGGAAUAUUGGACAAUGGACCGAGAGUCUGAUCCAGCAAUUCUGUGUGCACGAUGAAGUUUUUCGGAAUGUAAAGUGCUUUCAGUUGGGAAGAAAGAAAUGACGGUACCAACAGAAGAAGUGACGGCUAAAUACGUGCCAGCAGCCGCGGUAAUACGUAUGUCACGAGCGUUAUCCGGAUUUAUUGGGCGUAAAGCGCGUCUAGGUGGUUUUGUAAGUCUGAUGUGAAAAUGCAGGGCUCAACUCUGUAUUGCGUUGGAAACUGUAUAACUAGAGUACUGGAGAGGUAAGCGGAACUACAAGUGUAGAGGUGAAAUUCGUAGAUAUUUGUAGGAAUGCCGAUGGUGAAGCCAGCUUACUGGACAGAUACUGACGCUAAAGCGCGAAAGCGUGGGUAGCAAACAGG
rnacentral:rRNA from 1 species